ensembl:snRNA U6 U6 spliceosomal RNA
GCACUCACUUUGCCGGCACAUAUACUAAAAUUGGAAUGAUAUAGAGUAGAUUAGCAUGGCCCUUGUGCAAGGCUGACAUGUAAAUUCAUUAUGCAUUCCAUAUUUUC